rnacentral:rRNA from 1 species
UACAGAGGUCUCAAGCGUUGUUCGGAUUCAUUGGGCGUAAAGGGUGCGUAGCGGCGCGGUAAGUCGGGUGUGAAAUCUCGGGGCUUAACUCCGAAACUGCAUUCGAUACUGCCGUGCUUGAGGACUGGAGAGGAGACUGGAAUUUACGGUGUAGCGGUGAAAUACGUAGAUAUCGUAAGGAAGACCAGUGCGAAGGCGCCCGCUGGGCAGUAGCUGACGCUGAGGCGCGACAGCGUGGGGAGCAAACAGG